rnacentral:rRNA from 1 species
UGGAUUUAAAAUUCCGGUGGUACGGGACGGGCACGCGCGACAUUAGGUAGUUGGCGGGGUAACGGCCCACCAAGCCGACGAUGUCUAGGGGUUCUGAGAGGAAGGUCCCCCACACUGGAACUGAGACACGGUCCAGACUCCUACGGGAGGCAGCAGUGAGGAAUAUUGGUCAAUGGGCGAGAGCCUGAACCAGCCAAGUCGCGUGAGGGAAGAAUGGUCUAUGGCCUGUAAACCUCUUUUGUCAAGGAAGAAUAGACGGCACGCGUGCUGUUUUGCCAGUACUUGACGAAUAAGCAUCGGCUAACUCCGUGCCAGCAGCCGCGGUAAUACGGGGGAUGCGAGCGUUAUCCGGAUUUAUUGGGUUUAAAGGGCGCGUAGGCGGGACGCCAAGUCAGCGGUAAAAGACUGCAGCUAAACUGUAGCACGCCGUUGAAACUGGCGACCUGGAGACGAGACGAGGGAGGCGGAACAAGUGAAGUAGCGGUGAAAUGCUUAGAUAUCACUUGGAACCCCGAUAGCGAAGGCAGCUUCCCAGGCUCGAUCUGACGCUGAUGCGCGAGAGCGUGGGUAGCGAACAGGAUUAGAUACCCUGGUAGUCCACGCCGUAAACGAUGCUCACUGGAUCUUGGCGAUACACUGCCAGGGUUCAAGCGAAAGUAUUAAGUGAGCCACCUGGGGAGUACGUCGGCAACGAUGAAACUCAAAGGAAUUGACGGGGGCCCGCACAAGCGGAGGAACAUGUGGUUUAAUUCGAUGAUACGCGAGGAACCUUACCCGGGUUUAAAUGUGGAGUGCAUGAGCUGGAAACAGUUCUUUCCCUCGGGACUCUUCACAAGGUGCUGCAUGGUUGUCGUCAGCUCGUGCCGUGAGGUGUCGGGUUAAGUCCCAUAACGAGCGCAACCCCUAUCGCCAGUUGCCAGCGGCUGAGGCCGGGCACUCUGUCGAGACUGCCACCGUAAGGUGCGAGGAAGGCGGGGAUGACGUCAAAUCAGCACGGCCCUUACACCCGGGGCGACACACGUGUUACAAUGGCCGGUACAGAGGGCAGCCACGGGGUGACCCGGAGCGAAUCUCUAAAGCCGGUCGUAGUUCGGACUGGAGUCUGCAACCCGACUCCACGAAGUUGGAUUCGCUAGUAAUCGCGCAUCAGCCAUGGCGCGGUGAAUACGUUCCCGGGCCUUGUACACACCGCCCGUCAAGCCAUGGAAGCCGGGAGUACCUGAAGAUCGUGACCGCGAGGAACGGGCUAGGGUAAUACCGGUAACUGGGGCUAAGUCGUAACAAGGUAGCCGUACCGGAAGGUGCGGCUGGAACACCUCCUUUCUGGAGC